GUGCUCGCUUCGGCAGCACAUAUAGUAAAAUUGGAACAAUACAGAGACGGUUAGCAUGGCCCCUGCACAAGGAUGAGAAUGCAAAUUUGUGAAGUGUUCCAUAUUUUA
rnacentral:snRNA from 1 species